UACCAGCACCCCGAGUGGUCGGGACGAUUAUUGGGCCUAAAGCAUCCGUAGCCGGUUUUACAAGUCCUCCGUUAAAUCCAGCUGCUUAACAGAUGGGCUGCGGAGGAUACUAUAAGACUAGGAGGCAGGAGAGGCAAGCGGUACUCAGUGGGUAGGGGUAAAAUCCGUUGAUCCAUUGAAGACCACCAGUGGCGAAGGCGGCUUGCCAGAAUGCGCUCGACGGUGAGGGAUGAAAGCUGGGGGAGCAAACCGGG
rnacentral:rRNA from 1 species